rnacentral:rRNA from 1 species
CAAUGGUCGGUACAGGAGGGUUGACCCAACCCGCGAGGGGGAGCUAAUCCCACAAAGCCGAUCGUAGUCCGGAUCGCAGUCUGCAACUCGACUGCGUGAAGUCGGAAUCGCUAGUAAUCGUGGAUCAGCAUGUCACGGUGAAUACGUUCCCGGGUCUU